CCGGCUGCAGCGUCUUCCCCGCGCUCCCGAGCCUAUCCCUCGGGCGCCGGCCUGGGCUGUCCAGCGAGAGGGGCGGAGGGGCAGGGCCCCGGGCUAGGUCCAGGCCCGCAGCUGGCAUCAGGGGGGGCCUGGGUGGGAAGACCGGUUGGGGUGGGGGUGCACAGACCCGGGGAAUCUGAGACGCAAGGUUUCCGGCUCUUGGCCGCUAGUGAGGAAGGCUCGAGGCCGAUCCUGGCCCAAAGCAGGGCGCCGGGCCAUUGUCAGUCCUGGGAAGGGGGAUUGGGAGGAGCCCCAGAGGGGCGGCCAUUCCCUGGGGCGGCGUGGAAGGGAGGCAGCACCUCCAGGCGACAAGUAGAGCUGGGCCCUGGCGGGCUGCCACGGGGGUGUCUGGCAGUCUCUCCUGGGUCUAGGGCUGUUCCUCUGAGGUCACGAGGUGGUCCUUCGGGUGUGUCUGGGGUAAGCCCCUCUAGAAUCUGGGGGCGGCCUCCCGGGGGCCAUACUGCAUCACGUAGUGGAGUUGGGAAGAUAAAACCAGCACGUGUAAUGUAAUACAUGACAAUGGAAGAUUCUACGUAAUUAAGGGUUAACUCUGAAAUCAGAAGACAAGUUUUCCAAGACUUGGGAAGGUGGAGAGAUCAGAGAUCAGUGAGAGAACAAAGAAUCGGGCUCAAGAGGACUGGGUUCUGAGAGUUUCCAGAUCGCUGAACAUGUGGUGGUUCCUGAAGGGUGGUGGCCCUGGGGAGGGCAUGGAAGCUCCACGUCCCUUCCCACAUGCCUUGCCCUAUGCAGCUCUUCAUCUGUAUCCUUUGCAAUAUCCUUUACUAUAAACCAGUGAACAUAAGGAAAGUGUUUCCUUGAGUUUUGUGAGCCCUCCUAACAAAUCAAUUAAACCCACGGAGGGGGUUGUGGGAACCCCAAUUCAUAUCUGGUCUGCCAGAAGCACAGGUUACAGCCUGGGGCUUUUGAUUGACAUCAGAAGUGGGACAGUCCUGGGGACCGAGGCCUCAACCUGUGGGAUCUGAUGCUGUCUCCAGGUACAGAGUGUCAGAACUGAGUUGAAUUGGAGGACACCCAGGGGGUGUCCAUGCAGAACUACUUGCUUGCUUGGUGUGUGGGGAAUCCGCCUCCCCACAUUUGCUCACAGAAGACUUCUGUGAUGAUUGUUCUUGAGCAAGAGAAUCGGAAAAGCACUUGGAACAAAUGUGUUUUUUCCACCCAGAGACUGUUUACAAAUCACCUGAGCGUGCAGUGACUUUAUGCUCAUGGCUUAUAAAUUCCAUCCACCAAUCACUGAUAGGCUGGUCAUUUAAAUCACAGGACUGAAUGCAGCUUGGGGGAGGAUGUCUCCAUCUGUGCCCCUCUCCCACAUCCCAAAUAGCUGUCAGUGUCAGGAGUGGUACAAGGUGAGAGGGGGAAGGGGGAGGAGGACAGGAGUAGAAAUGAGGUGCUUCAGAAUUUCCCCAUCGUAACCAGAGGGCAGUUUGGUAGCAGGGGAAGUGUGGGUAUCUAGAAUCAGACUCCUUUAUCAGGGCAUGGUGGCACACGCCUGUAGUCCCAGCUACUUGGGAGGCUGAGG
rnacentral:lncRNA from 1 species